rnacentral:rRNA from 1 species
AUUGAACGCUGGCGGCAGGCCUAACACAUGCAAGUCGAGCGGAUGAAGGGAGCUUGCUCCUGGCUUCAGCGGCGGACGGGUGAGUAAUGCCUAGGAAUCUGCCUGGUAUUUGGGGAUAACGUCCGGAAACGGGCGCUAAUACCGCAUACGUCCUGAGGUAGAAAGUGGGGGAUCUUCGGACCUCACGCUAUCAGAUGAGCCUAGGUCGGAUUAGCUAGUUGGUUGGGUAAAGGCCUACCAAGGCGACGAUCCGUAACUGGUCUGAGAGGAUGAUCAGCCACACUGGAACUGAGACACGGUCCAGACUCCUACGGGAGGCAGCAGUGGGGAAUAUUGGACAAUGGGCGAAAGCCUGAUCCAGCAAUGCCGCGUGUGUGAAGAAGGUCUUCGGAUUGUAAAGCACUUUAAGUUGGGAGGAAGGGCAGUAAGUUAAUACCUUGCUGUUUUGACGUUACCAACAGAAUAAGCACCGGCUAACUUCGUG